UAUCAAGCAGGCAAGUCUAGCUAGCCAAUAUUAAAAGAGCCUGACCGAAAGUGAAGUGUUUUGAUACCGGUGGUGUUAGAGUGAAGAAACCAGUGUUUCGAUUAUUAGAGAUGUCUUCCUGCAGACCACCUCUUAAUAUGUGCAUGCUGAGGGGCGAAAUGGAGUAGAGCGUAUGUUUGCUAGAGAUCGGCCUUUCUAUUCUUAGCCUACAUCGAUGGCUGUGCUCUUUGUGUCGUGUGAUCUAUUGGCUAAGGGUUCCACUAAGGCUAGUGAGAAGUCUGGCGCGGAGAAUAAAAUGUGGUUCGAGGCCAUCGUCUGUCCGGACAGAUCUUCGCUCUGCUGCCGCCGGGGGAUACUCGUAGACACUGACGUCACACAACACCACAAUUAUGUCUAACCUUAGUCAGUAAGCCGACGAUAGAUCGUAAGUACAAACCCUAAUAAAUUAUCACCUACUCAUUGCUGCAUGUAAAACUGAUGCUUUUGUGUUGUGACGGGAUGGUUCGAGUAUAUCACAUCGUUAAGGUUCUUUCCAUACGAACCACUUAGAGGAGUUGGUAAGUGAAUCGCAGCUCCCAUUUCAUACCGUAU